UAGGGAAUCUUCGGCAAUGGGGGGAACCCUGACCGAGCAACGCCGCGUGAGUGAAGAAGGUUUUCGGAUCGUAAAGCUCUUUUGUUAAGGAAGAACGAGUGUGAGAAUGGAAAGUUCAUGCUGUGACGGUACUUAACCAGAAAGGGACGGCUAACUACUUGCCAGCAGCCGCGGUAAUACGUAGGUCCCGAGCGUUGUCCGGAUUUAUUGGGUGUAAAGCGAGCGCAGGCGGUUAGAAAAGUCUGAAGUAAAAGGCAGUGGCUCAACCAUUGUAGGCUUUGGAAACUGUUUAACUUGAGUGCAGAAGGGGAGGGUGGAAUUCCAUGUGUAGCGGUGAAAUGCGUAGAUAUAUGGAGGAACACCGGUGGCGAAAGCGGCUCUCUGGUCUGUAACUGCCGCUGAGGCUCGAAAGCGUGGGGAGCGAACAGG
rnacentral:rRNA from 1 species